CUCCAAACAUCCAUCCUGUGUUCAGGAUGAGCAGAGCUGAGUUUACAGCAAGCAUGGACUCUCUGCCUCAAGUCCUGAUGCUUUCCUGGAAGUGCUGAUGAGCUGCUGGGAGAAUGAAGGGAGCUGGAGAUGGGUCAGGCUGGAUGUUCUUGAGCAGCUUCCCACACACCAGAGAUGAGGUGGUAUUGCAAACCAUGGGGAGCCUUCCCUGCCCUACAGGACAUGGUAGUCCUGUGAAGUCCCCAUGUGUUUGCACUCUGGAGCAGAGCUGAGCUUAGCACAGACACGUGAGUGAGUUG